rnacentral:rRNA from 1 species
UACAGAGGUCCCAAGCGUUGUUCGGAUUCACUGGGCGUAAAGGGUGCGUAGGUGGUCGGGUAAGUCUGAUGUGAAAUCUCGGAGCUCAACUCCGAAACUGCAUUGGAUACUAUUCGGCUUGAGAGUUGGAGGGGGGACUGGAAUUCUCGGUGUAGCAGUGAAAUGCGUAGAUAUCAUGAGGAAUACCAGAGGCGAAGGCGGCUACCUGGACAAUUGCUGACGCUCAGGCACGAAAGCGUGGGGAGCAAAAGGG